rnacentral:lncRNA from 1 species
UUACUGAUCACAAUUAUCGGGCUUAAGCAUCAUCAAAUGGAUCACAACAACAUCAACCCGUUUUUAUUAAAAUCAAAACUUACAAUUGAUUGCAGCCCACAUAAUAUUGGAAAAUAUUCUAACAUUGCGUGCAACUGUUUCUUCUGGUCAAUCUAAAGCAUUUUUUUUUUUGUAUUAGGCUAAAGCACUUUUUUAUAGAACCUUUUUUUUACCUAGAAGCCACUUUUGUAUUUAGUGUGCUAAAGCAAAUUUCUUCCUACUUGUAUCACUUUUCAUCCCAAUUGUAUCAUGCAAAGAUUCAUCUCUUAGAUGACAUAUAUUAAUCUUUUGUAUUAAUUGCUCAAUAGCUUUACUUUGUUGAAAGUGACUUUGUAAAAAAAUUAUCACAUCAACGAUUUUGUUGAAUGCUUAUAUUCGAUCACAACUCUAUAUUGAAGAU